rnacentral:rRNA from 1 species
GCUUCUCUUGAGAGCGGCGGACGGGUGAGUAAUGCCUAGGAAUCUGCCUGGUAGUGGGGGAUAACGCUCGGAAACGGACGCUAAUACCGCAUACGUCCUACGGGAGAAAGCAGGGGACCUUCGGGCCUUGCGCUAUCAGAUGAGCCUAGGUCGGAUUAGCUAGUUGGUGAGGUAAUGGCUCACCAAGGCGACGAUCCGUAACUGGUCUGAGAGGAUGAUCAGUCACACUGGAACUGAGACACGGUCCAGACUCCUACGGGAGGCAGCAGUGGGGAAUAUUGGACAAUGGGCGAAAGCCUGAUCCAGCCAUGCCGCGUGUGUGAAGAAGGUCUUCGGAUUGUAAAGCACUUUAAGUUGGGAGGAAGGGCAUUAACCUAAUACGUUGGUGUUUUGACGUUACCGACAGAAUAAGCACCGGCUAACUCUGUGCCAGCAGCCGCGGUAAUACAGAGGGUGCAAGCGUUAAUCGGAAUUACUGGGCGUAAAGCGCGCGUAGGUGGUUCGUUAAGUUGGAUGUGAAAUCCCCGGGCUCAACCUGGGAACUGCAUUCAAAACUGACGAGCUAGAGUAUGGUAGAGGGUGGCGGAAAUUCCUGUGUAGCGGUGAAAUGUGUAGAUAUAGGGAGGACACC